GCUGCGGGAAGGCAGGCAGUUCGCUGCCGCUGGGCAGUGCGGGGAGCACUUCCAGAACUCUUCUCCUGUCCACAAUCAUCUUAAGUCUGCUCCCGGGCAGACCCUGAGCGGACCCCGUGAAGACACUUGAACCUCAGCGAAGCUUCAGCUGGGAUGCACAUGGCACUCAGAAGCGAAGGCAUCUUUGUGGGAAUCUUGGCCUCAGAUGCCAGCAGUAGUUCCGAGUUCAAACACUUUUCAGCAGGAAUUCAGCUGAAGUUGAAAUCACCAUCUGCCAUCUCAGAUUGAACCAGGUCCGCUGCGUGCCAAGAACCCCUUCUCUUGGCAGCGAGGCUGGCUCUGAUCUUUCAGAAAUGAUUCUCGAGUUGGCAUCUUGACUGAACAGAGCGAGCAGCCUGUCUUGGAAUGUUGGAAGAGAUGUGCUGAGCACGCUGCUGUACCAGGAAGAAAAGUUGGACCUCCAGUUCUGAAACUCCAUAAAUUAUAAAUUUUAUAAGUUGAGCUAAAAAACCCCUGGGGUGGGAGGAAGGAGUGCCAACAAAAUGAUCAAAAGCCAUAGAUCGAGCAGUGUCUGAUUUGAGUCAAUAAAUGCUAUUUAAGCCCUUACCAAC